GUAGAGUAACGCGUGAGUAACCUGCCUUACACAAGGGGAUAGCCUUUGGAAACGAAGAAUAAUACCCUAUAAAACCAUAAAAGCACAUGCUAGAAUGGUCAAAGUGAUAGCGGUGUAAGAUGGACUUGCGUCUGAUUAGCUAGUUGGUGAGAUAAAAGCUCACCAAGGCAACGAUCAGUAGCCGGCUUGAGAGAGUGUACGGCCACAUUGGGACUGAGACACGGCCCAG
rnacentral:rRNA from 1 species